rnacentral:rRNA from 1 species
CAGCCGCCACGGGAAUACGUAGGUGGCAAGCGUCGUCCGGAACUAUUGGGCGUAAAGGGCUCGCAGGCGGUUUCUUAAGUCUGAUGUGAAAGCCCCCGGCUCAACCGGGGAGGGUCAUUGGAAACUGGGAAACUUGAGUGCAGAAGAGGAGAGUGGAAUUCCACGUGUAGCGGUGAAAUGCGUAGAGAUGUGGAGGAACACCAGUGGCGAAGGCGACUCUCUGGUCUGUAACUGACGCUGAGGAGCGAAAGCGUGGGGAGCGAACAGGAUUAGAUACCCCUGUAGUCCCUGUCUCUUAUAC